AAUGUAUAGCGAAAGCUAGUUGUAUUAUUAGUUAAUGCAAGAUCGACUAGCGACUAAAGUUCUAGGUAGAAUAAUGAUGAUGACAAUUUUUUACCUAUAUGUCUUGACCAAGUCUCGUGCCAGCAGUCGCGGUAAUACGUGGAAGACUAGUGUUAUUCAUCUUUAUUAGGUUUAAAGGGUACCUAGACGGUAUUUCUAGCCCAAAAUAGGGUACGGAUUUACUAGAGUUUUAUGUGAGGAGGGGAGUACUCGUAGAGUAGAGAUGAAAUUUUGUUAUACUAUGAGGUAACUGGUGGCGGCGAAAGCAACCUUCUAUGUAUAAACUGACGUUGAGGGACGAAGGCUUGGGUAGCAAAUAGGAUUAGAUACCCUAGUAGUCCAAGCAGACAAUUCUGAAUGCCAUAGAUUAGAUUAUUUUUGGUCUAUAAAUGAAAGUGUAAGCAUUCCACCUUAGGAGUAAUGUGGCAACACAGGAACUGAAAUCAUUAGACCGUUUCUGAAACCAGUAGUGAAGUAUGUUAUUUAAAUUGAUGGUCCACAAAAAACCUUACCACAACUUGAAUAUUUUUAAUUAAUACAAGCGUUGCACGGCUGUCUUCAGUUAAUGUCGUGAGAUUUUGGUUAACUCCAUUAAUUAACGUAAACCCUUACUUUAUUUUUUAUUUUUUUUAUAAAGUAGAUCGCCUAUAUAUUGGAUAUGAUAAGAGGG
rnacentral:rRNA from 1 species